GGACUACAGGGGUAUCUAAUCCCGUUUGCUCCCCUGGCUUUCGCGCCUCAGCGUCAGAAAAGGUCCAGUCGAUCGCUUUCGCCACCGGCGUUCCUCCAGAUAUCUACGCAUUUCACCGCUCCACCUAGAGUUCCAUCGACCCCUACCUCCCUCGAGACUCCCAGUAUCGGCGGCUGUUUUCCGGUUGGGCCGAAAGAUUUCACCACCGACUUGGGAACCCGCCUACGCGCCCUUUAAGCCCAGUGAUUCCGAACAACGUUAGGACGGUUCGUCUUACCGCGGCUGCUGGCAC
rnacentral:rRNA from 1 species